UAGCAUAAUCAUUAGUUUUUUAAUUGAAGACUAGAAUGAAAGGUUUAAUAAAAAAUAAAUUUUAUUAAUUAUAUUUAAAAUUGAAUUUAUUAUUUAAGUAAAAAAACUUAAAUGUUUAAAAAAGACGAUAAGACCCUAUAAAGCUUUAUAAUUUUUUUUAUAAUAAAUAAUUAGAAAAUUUAAUUUAUUUUUAUUUAAUUUAUUUAAUUGGGGUGAUUUAAAGAUUAAAAAAACUCUUUAUUAUAAAUUUUAUCAUUAUUUUUUGAAUUAAUUGUAAAAUGAGCCUAAAAUAUAGAAUAAAAAAAUAAGUUACUUUAGGGAUAACAGCGUAAUUUUUUUAAAGAGUUCUUAUCGAUAAAAAAGAUUGCGACCUCGAUGUUGAAUUAAGAAAAAGUUUUUAGGUGUAGAAGUUUAAAUUUU
rnacentral:rRNA from 1 species